rnacentral:rRNA from 1 species
GAAUAUUGGACAAUGGGGGGAACCCUGAUCCAGCCAUGCCGCGUGUGUGAAGAAGGCCUUUUGGUUGUAAAGCACUUUAAGCGAGGAGGAGGAGCUCUUGGUUAAUACCCAAGAUGCUUGGACGUUACUCGCAGAAUAAGCACCGGCUAACUCUGUGCCAGCAGCCGCGGUAAUACAGAGGGUGCAAGCGUUAAUCGGAUUUACUGGGCGUAAAACGCCCCUCAAUAGCCAAUUAAGUCCACUGUCAAAUCCCCGAUGUUUACUUGGUAAUUACAUUCGAUACUAGUUGGCUAAAGUAUGGGAAAUGAUAUUAUCAUUCCCUUUCUACCUUUGACCUCCUUCUAUCUCUCUAAUCCUCCCUCUAUCCAAUCCCUCCCUCUGGCCUAAUACUGACACUGAGGUGCGAAAGCAUGGGGAGCAAACA